UGUUGAAAAUUAUAAAAAUUU
rnacentral:piRNA from 1 species